rnacentral:tRNA from 1 species
GAGGCUAUGGCUCAGUGGUAGAGUGCAUGCCUAGCAUGCCCAAGGUCCUAGGUUCAAUCCCCAGUACCUCCA